rnacentral:rRNA from 1 species
UUGUUCACAAUGGGCGCAAGCCUGAUGACGCAACGCCGCGUGGAGGAUGAAGGUCUUCGGAUUGUAAACUCCUGUUGCUCGGGACGAAAAGCUCUGACCUAACACGUCAGAGUCUGACGGUACCGGGUGAGGAAGCCCCGGCUAACUCUGUGCCAGCAGCCGCGGUAAUACAGAGGGGGCAAGCGAUGUUCGGAAUUACUGGGCGUAAAGGGCGCGUAGGCGGCCUUCUAAGUCAGACGUGAAAUCCCCGGGCUCAACCCGGGAACUGCGUCUGAUACUGGAGGGCUUGAAUCCGGGAGAGGGAUGUGGAAUUCCAGGUGUAGCGGUGAAAUGCGUAGAUAUCUGGAGGAACACCGGUGGCGAAGGCGGCAUCCUGGACCGGUAUGACGCUGAGCGCGAA